rnacentral:rRNA from 1 species
UAGGGAAUAUUGGGCAAUGGAGGGAACUCUGACCCAGCCAUGCCGCGUGCAGGAUGAAGGCGUUAUGCGUUGUAAACUGCUUUUUAUAUAGGAAGAAAUAGUCCUUGCGAGGAAAGUUGACGGUACUAUAUGAAUAAGCACCGGCUAACUCCGUGCCAGCAGCCGCGGUAAUACGGAGGGUGCAAGCGUUGUCCGGAUUUAUUGGGUUUAAAGGGUGCGUAGGCGGUUUAUUAAGUCAGUGAUGAAAGACGGUCGCUCAACGAUUGCAGUGCCAUUGAUACUGGUAGACUUGAGUAUGAUUGAGGUAGCUGGAAUGGAUAGUGUAGCGGUGAAAUGCAUAGAUAUUAUCCAGAACACCAAUUGCGUAGGCAAGUUACUAAGUCAUAACUGACGCUGAGGCACGAAAGUGUGGGUAUCAAACAGGAUUAGAUACCCUGGUAGUCCCUGAGCGGGCUGGCAAGGCGCAU